UUGGAGAGUUUGAUCCUGGCUCAGGACGAACGCUGGCGGCGUGCUUAACACAUGCAAGUCGAACGGAAAGGCCCUGCUUUUGUGGGGUGCUCGAGUGGCGAACGGGUGAGUAACACGUGAGUAGCCUGCCCUUGACUUUGGGAUAACUUCAGGAAACUGGGGCUAAUACCGGAUAGGAGCUCCUGCUGCAUGGUGGGGGUUGGAAAGUUUCGGCGGUUGGGGAUGGACUCGCGGCUUAUCAGCUUGUUGGUGGGGUAGUGGCUUACCAAGGCUUUGACGGGUAGCCGGCCUGAGAGGGUGACCGGCCACAUUGGGACUGAGAUACGGCCCAGACUCCUACGGGAGGCAGCAGUGGGGAAUAUUGCACAAUGGGCGGAAGCCUGAUGCAGCAACGCCGCGUGCGGGAUGACGGCCUUCGGGUUGUAAACCGCUUUCGCCUGUGACGAAGCGUGAGUGACGGUAAUGGGUAAAGAAGCACCGGCUAACUACGUGCCAGCAGCCGCGGUGAUACGUAGGGUGCGAGCGUUGUCCGGAUUUAUUGGGCGUAAAGGGCUCGUAGGUGGUUGAUCGCGUCGGAAGUGUAAUCUUGGGGCUUAACCCUGAGCGUGCUUUCGAUACGGGUUGACUUGAGGAAGGUAGGGGAGAAUGGAAUUCCUGGUGGAGCGGUGGAAUGCGCAGAUAUCAGGAGGAACACCAGUGGCGAAGGCGGUUCUCUGGGCCUUUCCUGACGCUGAGGAGCGAAAGCGUGGGGAGCGAACAGGCUUAGAUACCCUGGUAGUCCACGCUGUAAACGGUGGGUACUAGGUGUGGGGUCCAUUCCACGGGUUCC
rnacentral:rRNA from 2 species